UUAAGCGACUAAGCGUACACGGUGGAUGCCCUGGCAGUCAGAGGCGAUGAAGGACGUGCUAAUCUGCGAUAAGCGUCGGUAAGGUGAUAUGAACCGUUAUAACCGGCGAUUUCCGAAUGGGGAAACCCAGUGUGUUUCGACACACUAUCAUUAACUGAAUCCAUAGGUUAAUGAGGCGAACCGGGGGAACUGAAACAUCUAAGUACCCCGAGGAAAAGAAAUCAACCGAGAUUCCCCCAGUAGCGGCGAGCGAACGGGGAGGAGCCCAGAGCCUGAAUCAGUGUGUGUAUUAGUGGAAGCGUCUGGAAAGGCGCGCGAUACAGGGUGACAGCCCCGUACACAAAAAUGCACAUGCUGUGAGCUCGAUGAGUAGGGCGGGACACGUGGUAUCCUGUCUGAAUAUGGGGGGACCAUCCUCCAAGGCUAAAUACUCCUGACUGACCGAUAGUGAACCAGUACCGUGAGGGAAAGGCGAAAAGAACCCCGGCGAGGGGAGUGAAAAAGAACCUGAAACCGUGUACGUACAAGCAGUGGGAGCACGCUUAGGCGUGUGACUGCGUACCUUUUGUAUAAUGGGUCAGCGACUUAUAUUCUGUAGCAAGGUUAACCGAAUAGGGGAGCCGAAGGGAAACCGAGUCUUAACUGGGCGUUAAGUUGCAGGGUAUAGACCCGAAACCCGGUGAUCUAGCCAUGGGCAGGUUGAAGGUUGGGUAACACUAACUGGAGGACCGAACCGACUAAUGUUGAAAAAUUAGCGGAUGACUUGUGGCUGGGGGUGAAAGGCCAAUCAAACCGGGAGAUAGCUGGUUCUCCCCGAAAGCUAUUUAGGUAGCGCCUCGUGAAUUCAUCUCCGGGGGUAGAGCACUGUUUCGGCAAGGGGGUCAUCCCGACUUACCAACCCGAUGCAAACUGCGAAUACCGGAGAAUGUUAUCACGGGAGACACACGGCGGGUGCUAACGUCCGUCGUGAAGAGGGAAACAACCCAGACCGCCAGCUAAGGUCCCAAAGUCAUGGUUAAGUGGGAAACGAUGUGGGAAGGCCCAGACAGCCAGGAUGUUGGCUUAGAAGCAGCCAUCAUUUAAAGAAAGCGUAAUAGCUCACUGGUCGAGUCGGUCUGCGCGGAAGAUGUAACGGGGCUAAACCAUGCACCGAAGCUGCGGCAGCGACACUAUGUGUUGUUGGGUAGGGGAGCGUUCUGUAAGCCUGUGAAGGUGUGCUGUGAGGCAUGCUGGAGGUAUCAGAAGUGCGAAUGCUGACAUAAGUAACGAUAAAGCGGGUGAAAAGCCCGCUCGCCGGAAGACCAAGGGUUCCUGUCCAACGUUAAUCGGGGCAGGGUGAGUCGACCCCUAAGGCGAGGCCGAAAGGCGUAGUCGAUGGGAAACAGGUUAAUAUUCCUGUACUUGGUGUUACUGCGAAGGGGGGACGGAGAAGGCUAUGUUGGCCGGGCGACGGUUGUCCCGGUUUAAGCGUGUAGGCUGGUUUUCCAGGCAAAUCCGGAAAAUCAAGGCUGAGGCGUGAUGACGAGGCACUACGGUGCUGAAGCAACAAAUGCCCUGCUUCCAGGAAAAGCCUCUAAGCAUCAGGUAACAUCAAAUCGUACCCCAAACCGACACAGGUGGUCAGGUAGAGAAUACCAAGGCGCUUGAGAGAACUCGGGUGAAGGAACUAGGCAAAAUGGUGCCGUAACUUCGGGAGAAGGCACGCUGAUAUGUAGGUGAAGUCCCUCGCGGAUGGAGCUGAAAUCAGUCGAAGAUACCAGCUGGCUGCAACUGUUUAUUAAAAACACAGCACUGUGCAAACACGAAAGUGGACGUAUACGGUGUGACGCCUGCCCGGUGCCGGAAGGUUAAUUGAUGGGGUUAGCGCAAGCGAAGCUCUUGAUCGAAGCCCCGGUAAACGGCGGCCGUAACUAUAACGGUCCUAAGGUAGCGAAAUUCCUUGUCGGGUAAGUUCCGACCUGCACGAAUGGCGUAAUGAUGGCCAGGCUGUCUCCACCCGAGACUCAGUGAAAUUGAACUCGCUGUGAAGAUGCAGUGUACCCGCGGCAAGACGGAAAGACCCCGUGAACCUUUACUAUAGCUUGACACUGAACAUUGAGCCUUGAUGUGUAGGAUAGGUGGGAGGCUUUGAAGUGUGGACGCCAGUCUGCAUGGAGCCGACCUUGAAAUACCACCCUUUAAUGUUUGAUGUUCUAACGUUGACCCGUAAUCCGGGUUGCGGACAGUGUCUGGUGGGUAGUUUGACUGGGGCGGUCUCCUCCUAAAGAGUAACGGAGGAGCACGAAGGUUGGCUAAUCCUGGUCGGACAUCAGGAGGUUAGUGCAAUGGCAUAAGCCAGCUUGACUGCGAGCGUGACGGCGCGAGCAGGUGCGAAAGCAGGUCAUAGUGAUCCGGUGGUUCUGAAUGGAAGGGCCAUCGCUCAACGGAUAAAAGGUACUCCGGGGAUAACAGGCUGAUACCGCCCAAGAGUUCAUAUCGACGGCGGUGUUUGGCACCUCGAUGUCGGCUCAUCACAUCCUGGGGCUGAAGUAGGUCCCAAGGGUAUGGCUGUUCGCCAUUUAAAGUGGUACGCGAGCUGGGUUUAGAACGUCGUGAGACAGUUCGGUCCCUAUCUGCCGUGGGCGCUGGAGAACUGAGGGGGGCUGCUCCUAGUACGAGAGGACCGGAGUGGACGCAUCACUGGUGUUCGGGUUGUCAUGCCAAUGGCACUGCCCGGUAGCUAAAUGCGGAAGAGAUAAGUGCUGAAAGCAUCUAAGCACGAAACUUGCCCCGAGAUGAGUUCUCCCUGACUCCUUGAGAGUCCUGAAGGAACGUUGAAGACGACGACGUUGAUAGGCCGGGUGUGUAAGCGCAGCGAUGCGUUGAGCUAACCGGUACUAAUGAACCGUGAGGCUUAACCUU
rnacentral:rRNA from 1 species